UACGAAGGGGGCUAGCGUUGCUCGGAAUCACUGGGCGUAAAGGGUGCGUAGGCGGGUCUUUAAGUCAGGGGUGAAAUCCUGGAGCUCAACUCCAGAACUGCCUUUGAUACUGCGGAUCUUGAGUUCGGGAGAGGGGAGGGGAACUGCGAGUGUAGAGGUGAAAUUCGUAGAUAUUCGCAAGAACACCAGUGGCGAAGGCGGCUCGCUGGCCCGAUACUGACGCUGAGGCACGAAAGCGUGGGGAGCAAACAGG
rnacentral:rRNA from 1 species